rnacentral:rRNA from 1 species
AUUGAACGCUGGCGGCAGGCUUAACACAUGCAAGUCGAGCGAGCGGCGGACGGGUGAGUAAUGUCUGGGAAACUGACUGAUGGAUGGGGAUAACUACUGGAAACGGUAACUAAUACCGCAUCCAAUCCGCUGUGCCCAGAUGGGAAUAGCUAGGAGGUGGGGUAAUGGCUCACCUAGGCGACGAUCCCUAGCUGGUCUGAGAGGAUGACCAGCCACACUGGAACUGAGACACGGUCCAGACUCCUACGGGAGGCAGCAGUGGGGAAUAUUGCACAAUGGGCGCAAGCCUGAUGCAGCCAUGCCGCGUGUGUGAAGAAGGCCUUCGGGUUGUAAAGCACUUUCAGCGAGGAGGCGUUACUCGCAGAAGAAGCACCGGCUAACUCCGUGCCAGCAGCCGCGGUAAUUC